GACGAACGCUGGCGGCGUGCUUAACACAUGCAAGUCGAACGGUGACGAGGAGCUUGCUCCUCUGAUCAGUGGCGAACGGGUGAGUAACACGUGAGCAACCUGCCCCAGACUCUGGGAUAACAGUUGGAAACAGCUGCUAAUACCGGAUACGAGACGGAGAGGCAUCUCUACCGUCUGGAAAGUUUUUCGGUCUGGGAUGGACUCGCGGCCUAUCAGCUAGUUGGUGAGGUAAUGGCUCACCAAGGCGACGACGGGUAGCCGGCCUGAGAGGGCGACCGGCCACACUGGGACUGAGACACGGCCCAGACUCCUACGGGAGGCAGCAGUGGGGAAUAUUGCACAAUGGGCGAAAGCCUGAUGCAGCGACGCCGCGUGAGGGAUGACGGCCUCGGUUGUAACCUACUUCUACGAGGAAGAAGACGAAAGUAGACGGUACCUAGCAGAAGAAGACGACGACGACUAACGUGCCAGCAGCCGCGGU
rnacentral:rRNA from 1 species